ensembl:lncRNA
CCACCGCAGUGUUGUACCCAACGUCACUGCUGUAAACGGCCUCUGACCCCCCCAGUCAGUCUGGAGCGGGAAGAGGUAGAGAUUUGGGGGGAUGGGGGCAAUGUUGAGGAUCCCCCCCCCCCACCCGUCACUCUCAGUGGGAGGUCCCGGUGUAGUCAGAGGAGGUGUGUGCCUUGGUCUCGGUCCUCACUCGCCCUGUCUGUGUGUGUGUGUGUGUGUGUGUACCCCACAAUGUCUAGGAACAAAAACCAGUCCAACUCAAUCAAGACAUAUUCUAUCACUUACAAGACAUAUCCUCGGAAAAGUCAUAUCAGUAUGGAUGUAGAACAGACACACACAUGUGCGCGCGCGCACACACACACACACACACACACACACACACACACACUCACACACACACACACACACACACACACACACACACACACACUCACACUCACACUCACACACACACACAUGCGUUAGUUAGGGCAUCUUUCAAAUCUAAACUGAUGAAUUUACUAAUGAUACUAAGACUCAAGUCAACCAAUUCUGUGCUUGUGAAUAGAAUUAUAAUCCCGUGGUAUUAAACAGCGUCUAGAUUUUCUAACCUAGCAGAAGUCUUCCUUGCUACGGUACGGUACUGAUGUUCUAGACUGCAGACAGGAGAACGGCCUGGUGUUUGAGCACAGGCAGCUUCCCAGCAUGAGUCCCGCACUAACAACACUGUCACUGUGGCUAGGGUACUGAACUGUGUGUGUGUGUGUGUGUGUGUGUGUGUGUGUGUGUGUGUGUGUGUGUGUGUGUGUGGUUUUCAGUUCCCUUCCAGACCAGCACUAACUGUAGAUGUAAACACACGUACCCCGGUCAGUGCUGAGGACACACACACACACACACACACACACACACCGGACACACACCGCAGACGUCAUCCGAGUCGUGAUCUGAGAUCAGCCAAAACACGUCACGAGUCCUGCAUUCACACACUCUUUCUUGGACACACUCUCUCGGACACACACUCUCGGACACACACACACACUCUCUCUCUCGGACACACACUCUCAGACACACACACACACACACACUCUCUCUCUCAGACACACACACUCUCAGACACACUCUCUCUCGGACACACACACACACUCUCUCGGACACACACACACUCUCUCAGACACACACUCUCUCUCGGACACUACUCUGUAUAUUACUCCAAGCCCAGGCUUCCAUUGGUCUACAUGACUGUUGUCGUGUGUGUGUGUGUGUGUGUGUGUGUGUGUGUGUGUGUGUGUGUGUGUGUGUGUGUGUGCAACAGUGUUACUGGUGCUUUAAUUUAUGUGGAUUUGUUUGCUUUUGGAACUUGACAUCCCGUGUAGAACUUGACUCAGACGUGGCCCAGACGUGGGCCAGACACGGCCCAGACGCAGCUCGGUUCUGCCGGGCCAGAGGAGUUCCCUAGGUCAGCAGCAUUCUUAGUGUUUUUAAGCCUCAGUUCUCAGGCUUGUGAUUGGUCAAACGGCUCCUCAGGUUGAAAGGUCAAACUAGGCCCCCCCCUCAUUGUUGGAAAAUAUCACAGACCCGAGGAUCCCGAAGCGUUGGCAUGGAAACUAUACCCUUGUAGUGUGUUUUUGUUGAUAUGUUGGUGCACUGCUCACAGUCGUGGAAGUGUUGGUGUAGAGCAGUGGUUCUCAAACGUUUUGUCCGGGGACCCCAUUAAAUCCAUUUGCCAAGUCUCGCGACCCCCCCCCCACACACAUUUUGACAGGAUAUUAUAGGUCUAAAUUCAGUUUCAUCUUGAAUGAUGAGACAGCUUGCUGAGACAAUAUUAGUUUUCUUUAUCCACCCUGAUGUAGAAAACACCAUGUCUGAUAGACUAUACAGCAUGUCAAAGCCUAAUAUGUUGAUGCACAGGGCAGCAAGAUCAUUUCGCGACCCCCCAAAAAAACGUUUGGCGACCCCCACUUGGGGUCCCGACCCCUAGUUUGAGAACCACUGGUGUAGAGAGCAUAGAUCACAGAUGUAGACGUGAGCCACGCCUCUCACAGCCUUCCGCUUAGAAUAGUCAUUCACCUUCGGUUCCCUCGCACGGAACCCUGGCCGUCUGCAGGAGAAACCAACUCUCAGAACAGGUUUAUUCUCAGAGAACCUGCUCAGAAAAGACUCUCAGUACAGUCCUCGAUGUAUUCAUUAAAAAGAUUAAAUUUGAGAUUCAAUCACCACUGAUCAAAACAAUCACUGAAGUCUGAAGUCUCGCACAGAGAAUUUGAUUCUUGGAGGGUUGGGAUUCAAGAUGUUCCUUUAUCAUGUUUGGUGUUUUGAGUUGGUUCUGUUCUGUUCUGUUCUGUUCUGGUCUGUUCUGUUCGGUUCUGUUCCUGUCUGUAUCUGCUGUAUCAGGAUGGUGUUCUUACUUAUUGUGUUUUACUGAAGAAAAGAAACAACUACACAUUCCCAUUCACCCUUUUUGUAUUGGUUCAUUUUAGACAUUUUUACAAAAAUGAGUUUUCUUGUCUUAAUAAAAACAGAAAAAGGUAUUAAUGUUGAAAACUGGUGUGUGUUGUCUUUAUUAAUGUUGAAAGCUGGUCCUUUCUUCUGUGACUGAAUGGCUUUCACUCUCUCACACACACACACACAUACCAAACAUACACAGACACACACACACACACACACACACACCAGACACACACACACAGACACACACACACACACACACACACACAC